UGAAUUAAGUUUCUGUGGAUUAUGAUUAGACAUCAUUAAUUUGAACAAAAAAUUGUGAUAUAUUCCAUAGUAAAAAAUUAACUUACCUUCUGAAGUAGUCAUGAAGAAGCUUGGACAACCCCAGAUGCCGUCUUUAGUAGCAGAGUUGUCUUCACCCAAAACACACGGUGUUCAUCUUCUUGGAUCUGGUAGUAGUAUGGGGACACCUUCUUCCUGUGUUUUAAACGAGAAGACGCUGAAAGUGUCAGAAUCAUCGUUUGACGAUGGGGCGUCGUCGUCGUUGCUCUGAGUAUAAGUGCCAUCUUUUCCCGGUUGCAGACAUCCAAUAUACAGAAUAACUUCUUCGUGGUCAUGAUCAGUAGGGUGUAAGCGGGUUGGAGAAGUUGAAGAAUCCAUGCAUGCAAGAAUCAAGAAAGAAAGAUGAUGAAAAGAGUGAGAGCAGGAAGAGUAUAAUUUGGAAAAUUGUGGGGUGUUGGACUAUUGGUAGUUACGGUAUGGUCUUAUAUAGAAAAUGUUGGUAGUAACGAUGUGGUCUUAUAUAGAUUCUGUUGGUAGUUACAAUUGGAAUUCUAUUCCAAUUACCAUCCGUUGGUAGUUACCAAUUGGUCAAAUUGAUUUUUAUAUCUAUAGUUCUAAUGUAGUAGGAAGUAAUAUUUAGUGGGAAUUGAUGUAAAAGAACAGAACACGAAAUAUGCGGUUGCUGAUCGUAUUUCUGAAGAAGGCAGCAAGCUUGCUGACAACAUUCUGAUGACGAAGAAACGACACCUGCUUGAAUUGGCAUGAGCCUGAUGAAUUGACCCGUUCCUCGUAGCCGGCUGUAGAGUGACUCCAACUACGUCUUUGGAAAGCGAAUUUCAUACCUCCCUCUGUAAAUGACGAAAGGAGUGGCGACAGAGGAUCAUCCACCUCUUUUAGAUCUUUCACCGCAUCCAGCUUAUAUGGAGUUGAUUCAUCUUCCAAUGCCCGAAGAGAAGGAAGGUGGUAGUCUUGAAGAAUGACCCAGAGAUUUUCUUAAGUGAUAGCACCUGCUUAAGUAAGAGGGUCUUCGUGCACUUGAGCUUCUGUUCAAGGUGCAAACGCUCUUUGCGGGUCUCCUUCGUUCUUGUGAUGGCACCGCUGGUAACCGAACUCUUUCGCGAAAGGGAUGGAGCCUAGGGCUGAGUCUAGCUGUAGCGAUUAAAGCAGAAGGCGGAUGCGAUGCGCGUGAACUCUAGAUGGCUAGGCACUCUAAAUGGUUAAUGGAUAAAAGUUGAAAUUCAAUAGAAAGGAGAUAAAGCGCACUUUUAUUACAGAACGUUUCUGUAACAACGUUUCAUACAGGCACAAAGCGCGCUCACGACUCUUUUAGUAAGUAGUGCACUUAUGAGAGAAAGCAUAAGUUGUAUUAAUUGUUUUAAGCGUGUACGACUUUCUCUUUUCUUUAGUGGGAUAAUUAGUUAUCCGUUAGAAAGGAUCUGUAUACAUACUUCACUGUUCAUCAUCUUCAACACAGAGAAAUAAGGGAUUCUUGUACUGCAGUUUUUCUUCUUGAGUCCAGUAUGACACCGACGUCACGACGUGGACGCCGGUGGGGCGGCUGUUCCAAGUAGAAUACGCGAUGGAGGUGGUGAAGCAGGGCUCGGCGGCGAUAGGGCUGAGUUGGAAGACUCAUUUGGUGCUCACCAGCGUUAACAAGGCGAGCUCUAAGCUCUCCUCGCACCAGAAGAAGAUCUUCAAGGUCGACGACCACUUCGGUGUGGCCAUUGCCGGACUGACGGCCGAUGGACGACAAGUCUCAGAGGUCAGGUGGUGAUCUUCAGUCGUGGUGGCUAAUGGUGGCUAAUGAGCACUCUGUAGCAUACAGUGCUAGCACAAAAGUUAGUUUUCCUGUUGAAGAGUCAUUGACAAUGGGCCAUAAACUGGAGAAAAAAUUCUCGUCAAAGAGUGAAGGCAGGCCCCAGGAACCUAAACCUCUUGAUGCCGUUAGUCCAUCCCAACUUCCUAAAUCCAGUGGCAAUGAGUACUUUAUCUCUGACCAUUGAGUUUUGGAGGGAAGCUGAAAUGCUCUCAAAGCUUCACGACCCGAACGUGGUAGCAUUUUAUGGUGUUGUACAAGACGGACCAGGGGGGACAUUGGCUACCGUGACGGAAUACAUGGUUGAUGGAUCUUUAAGACAUGUUUUACUUGGUACUGUGUUUUACAGAGAGGUUGUGGAAUUUUGUUUGACUAACACCUCGAUCACCGGAAGCGGCUCAGAAUUGCCAUGGAUGCAGCUUUUGGGAUGGAAUAUUUGCAUUCAAAGAAUAUAGUCCACUUUGAUCUAAAAUGUGACAAUUUGCUAGUUAACUUGAAAGAUCCAUCAAGGCCUAUCUGCAAGGUAGGUGACUUUGGUCUAUCAAAAAUAAAGCGCAACACCCUGGUUUCUGGUGGAGUUAGGGGAACUCUGCCAUGGAUGGCUCCAGAGCUGCUGAAUGGCAGUAGCAAUAAAGUUUCUGAAAACGUCAGAUCCACAACAUGCAAGUGUAUCUCCAGAAAAUUUGAAUUUAUCCAGAAUCUGAAAAUUGAUAUUAAUUGUUAGCAGAUUCUAGAUCCUUUCAGAUACUUUCCGUCAUUUCUACGUAUUCAAUGGUAUACCUUGGUUUGAGUAAAUAUUUCUUUCCAGAAAAUGAAUGGGAGUAUUAUAGUCAAGUGUUCUUUUGGCGUAUUAACCUGCUAACAGCAACCUCCUCUCUCCUAAAAUUCUGAAUAAAAGUAGAAGAAAAUAAUAUUGCACAUUGUCAGUUGAAUACAUCUGUACUACUUCGUUUGUUGUACAGGUUGAAGCAUCUUAUAUUUCUAUGUGACAAAAAUAAGGAGUUUUGGUUGUUCACCUGGCAGGUUGAUGUCUUUACAUUUGGUAUUGUCCUGUGGGAGAUACUCACUUGGGAGGAGCCUUACGCCAACAUGCAUUAUGGUGCAAUCAUAUGUUUGUAACUUAACUGACACAAAGAUUUGGGUUGGUGGUUGUGGUAUGUGAUGAGUGAUGGUCGUUUCCUACUAAACUAACUGGUGUAUGUCUGAAAUAUAGUUUAGCUUGGGAUCUGAAAACUAAUAAUUUCCUGUCAGACAUUAUACUAAUUGAGAUCAAAUAACUCCUGUAACAUGAUGUCAGGCCUUACGAGAAGUUUUGCAUCAAAAGCAUAUGCUGGUAAAUGAGUGAUCUAUUUUGUGAGUCUUUUUAUAUGACCAAACUAUAGAAUCUACAGAGAUGAAUUCAAGGCCAGGCAAUCUUUGUUUGGUGUAAGCUUCCAAUUAAUGAAGCCUUCACAGUUCAGAAGCUUACACUUAUUUCAAUGAGGCAUUGUGAACAACACAUUGAGACCAACCAUUCCAAGCUACUACGACACAGAAUGGAGGAGAUUAAUGGAGCAGUGUUGGGCCCCAAAUCCUGCUAUGGGGCUAUGUUUUACAGAAAUUGCUAGACGAUUGCGCGUAAUGUCUUCCUCGGCCCAGACACGGAAGGCGAGUUGAUAGAUAAUCAAAAGAUGGUUUGAUGUAUUCUUUACUAAUUAAAGCAAUUAGUUCAUUUAAUUCUAGAGAGUAGGGAUAUUACGUCAUUACUCAAUGAAACAAAUGGCUUGAAAAUUGGCAAUACAUUUGUCAUGCUCAUCAUCAUCGUCAUAUAUAAAUGUGAAGUUCUUUGAACA